GCUCAUUUGCUACGGAUGGUCGUACAACGUUUCGAUCAUUGUCGCGAGAUUUUCCUGUUUGGUGCGAAACGUAGGACAAACAGCAGCACGCGCGCUGUUAGGAAACGCUGCGGCAGUUAGCUCGUUCAAUAGUUUCCAGGAAUGUUAAUUCUCUUCAAGCGGGGAAACACCGCUCGAUCUUUCUGUUGGCUUUGAAAAUUAAGCGUUCGUCGCGUCAUAUCUGAGCCAGUAGCACGUUGCAACGUUAGAAAAUAUUUCACGUUGCGGCAACGUACGAGAAAAGCUUCGUCAGUACGCGCGACUCUUUGCCCCGAUCCUUCACAAAGUGCGUUUCGUUGUCGAAACCAGAACAACGUCGAAGUAUUGCAAUUUUUAAUGGAAUUAACAUUUUAUCAUUUACUGAUUAAUAAUAGGCUGUUGGCGGAAUAAAAAAAUUAUCGAAAUACAAAAAUAGCUUUAAUUUUGAAAGUUCGAAAUUAGGUGGGACACAGGUUAGUUAGGUUGGCAACUAAGUGAUUGCGGAUUUUGUCAUUAGGUGGCAUUGACAGAAUCCGCAAUCACUUAGUUGCCAACUUUUCUCGUUGCUUUUGUGUCUUGCGUUUCCUGGCUACACCGAUGCGAGUCCCGUAUGUCGUGACACACCUUGUAUAUAGCACAGAGAAGAUUCACUGAGAUCAACGAAGAGACCAUCGUGGUUCUAGCAACAGUAUCCCAGGCUAAUUAGCCUUUUGACGGAUUGGCUAUCUCAUUUGAACGAUGUGAGCUCAAUAAUAAUCCUGAUCGAUCACCGAUAAAGCGUUAAACGAAUAUGAAUGAACUUAUGUUUCGUACGAUACGCACCAGUUGAUGCCAGAAGAAGAUAACAAGUAAUUGUUCUGGUCUUAACCUGCGAUUAAUUGGGCUAAAUUAUCUAAGAAGCUAGCAAGCUUUAAUCAUCUGAAAUUCAGUAGAUUUAGUUGGAAGAUUUUCAUUUAGAAGGGAAAAGUAGCUUUAUUUCUUAUUUCCUGUAUUUUCUAUCUUCUUCUUCUUUUACAAUAUUUUUCAAUCGCUUAUUUCAUGAUAUAACUGCUAAUGCUUGUUUUCUACUAUAAUUGACGAUGCAUGUUCUCUGUAAAAUAAUUACAAACCUGAUACGAAUCUACAACUUGCUAUUAUAAUAUACAACUUAAUGACUAUACAUUGAUUUUUGUACAAUUGAUAAUUAUGCAACGUAAGAGUCGUUCUGCGGGUUGAUAUUUUUUUUGCAAAAUAAAAAUCACACGAUCACGACUGUGUGUUUAAUUAAUUUUUCCUCGCCAUGAAGGGUUGACCAAAUAUCCAAUUGAAUGGCACGGACAUAACAGAAACAAAGCAAUUUAAAUACCUAGGACUCCACUUAGACGCACAAUUUACAUGGAAACAACAUACUAAAUCAAUUAUAGAGAAAAUACGGAUAAAAAGAAGACGGAUGUACUGAUAAUAAAACCAAUUUGCACGUAGGGAAUACCACUAUGGGGGACAGCAGCAAUCAGCCACAUAAAUAAACUAGAGGCGCUACAAUCGAAGAUACACAAAGGAGGAUAUACACAAAGACUUAAAAAUACCAACAGUCGAAGAAGAAAUCGCCAGGUACGCAGAAAAAUACAAGGAAAGAACGGCAACACAUCCAAACCAGCCGGCUGCCGAAGCGAGUAAAACUCCCAUAAAGAGAAGACUAAAAAGAAAACACCUCACUGACCUCACUAAAGAAACAAAAUAGUCAAACUCGAAGAUGGUAUCCCGUUGCCAUCCACGUGUUAUUUAACAAUAAAAUUGAAAAAAUUUACUAAACGUCCAGCUGGAUAAAUUGUAAAAUACAAAUUAAAUAAUAAUAAAAAAAAAAAAAAAGAAUAGAGGGUUGUAACUAUGAAUAGGUUUCUCUUGAGCAACUUGGCUCAAUUCACGUAUCGACAUGAUAUUCGUGUGUUAUUAUAAAUCGGCCAAAGUAUCCACACAGAAGCACUCGUUGAUUUACGCGAUAUCGUAAUCCGAUACAACAGCGCACUCGAAUGGAACGCUUUGUUAUUAUUAAUGUUGGAAGCUUGUUUCAUGUUCGAUGACUAUUUAUCGAGUAUUGCUCAUCUUGAUUACACGUAACUGUACGAAAGAAUGUAUAACAGUCAGAAGCAUAAACUAAAGCGUGCUCGAUGCGUGAUAGAAUCCGUUUAAAGUGAAAGUAACUGUUUGUUAUGCGAUGCAAAGAAUUUCUCCAAUGUUACACGUAUCACAUGGCUAACAAGUAUCGAAUUUUCUUCGUCUUUUUGAAACACUUUUCGCAUAUUUCGAAAUUUCAGUGCGUUUGCAAGUUUUAGCUUGCCAAAGAUUGCACGUUUUAUAGGUUAAGGUUGGCAACUAAGUGAUUGCGGAUUUCGUCAAUACCACCUAAUGACAAGGUAUUGACAAAAUCCGCAAUCACUUAGUUGCCAACCCAAUUGCUUUAACUAAAAAGGUCGAAUCUUCGAACGCAUUUCGACAUAUUUCUUACAGACUUCUGAAAUUUUGUAUAACUGAAGAUUUUAAUAAUAAAAGUUUAAGAAAUUUGCGAUUUAGCACACUCGCACGUCUGACAUCUUUUCUACGCGAAUUUCUCAAUACUCCAACGUUUAGAAAUGUGAAAAACCUUCGAAAUCUUUUGAAUAUUUAACUUUCAAUUGUUCAGACGUUUGGAAGUUCAAGUAUUCGAAGCGGGAAGUUUCGAGAUCUUAGAAAUUUGACAAAAUUAAAACAAAAUUAAAAAUUCUUUCUCCACAGCAUUCAAAGUCCUCGUUCCUGAUAAUUUGCGAUUUCCAAAUCUAUUGGCAAACUGAAAAUACUUUACAGGACACUAAAGUGCAGCAUUCACGUGACCAAAGCUAUGGAAUACUAUCGCGUUACGUAACAACCUGCAAUAAUGUUACCGGUGCUAUGAGAAAAAAAGAGCUGGAAGAAUUGCCUUUUGUUCCUACAAUGAGAAUUUUCGUCUGGUUAUCCGUGAUUUUUUUUUUUUUUUUUUGAAAGAAAAAAAGAGGAACGAAUAAUUAUUCGUAAAAAAAAGCAGCAGUGUUUUUGAUAGAAAACAGUAGUUUUUCCAUUAAAAAAAAAAAAAAAAAAAAAAACAGCAGUAUACAAUCAAGAUAGGAUCAUCGAAUAAAACAAGUUGCUAGCUUUUUGCUUUCACAACGACAGCGAAGAAUAAGAUAAAAAACAUGCUAAAAUGAUAUGAAUUGCUUGUUGAAACUCGCACUUCCUAGCGAGAGGAAUAUUAUUAACAUAUAGCAAUAAUAUAUCGAUAUUAACAAUAUCGAAAAGCCCAGCAUUAAAUUCAAACAAAUAUCAGAGAACGAAAGAAGCGAUUGUUAAAUGAAAAUCCUCAUAGAAAUUGUCCAAUUUGGAACUUUAGAAAAAGAUAUUUAACAACGGACCUGUAAGCAGCGAAUUGGAAGAACAUUUGUCGAAUAAUAUCAUCAGGAAAUUCAGCAUUUUUCUUUAAAAAUUAAAUACAAGGCGUCUGAAUUAUUCGUCCUUCGAAUGGCAAGGCGUUUUUCUGAUAAAGUUAUCAGCCAAUGUAUAAUAUAUUGGAUUAUGAAUAUAAGAGCGGUCGAUAGUUUGUUUGAA